rnacentral:rRNA from 1 species
UACGUAGGGUGCAAGCGUUGUCCGGAUUUAUUGGGCGUAAAGAGCGUGUAGGCGGCUUGGUAGGUCCGCUGUGAAAACUCGAGGCUCAACCUCGAGAUGUCGGCGGAAACCACUUGGCUAGAGUCCGGAAGAGGAGAGUGGAAUUCCCGGUGUAGCGGUGAAAUGCGCAGAUAUCGGGAAGAACACCUAUGGCGAAGGCAGCUUCUUGGUCCACAUCUGACGCUCAUGCACGAAAGCGUGGGGAGCAAACAGG